AAAAAAAUCUACCUUCAGGAAUGAAGACAACUCUCAAGACCUUCAUCUUUGUCACCGAGGCAGAUGGUGCUUUUCAAGGGCAGAUGCAGGACACACAAAUUUCAAGCAUGACAGCAAAGAAGUCCCUUCUGCUCGUUUCAUUUUGUAGAAGAAGAAAAUAAUAAAACUUCUCAUCGAUCCCUGGACUGCACUUGAGUGAGAGCUGUUAGCUGUCACAAAUAGAAACAACUCAGGAGUGUGAAGAGGGUCAAGUGGAGGAUCAGCUCAUUACUGUGAUUUAAGAAUGGAGGAGACAAAUGCUAUUCUCAUCAUAAAUGUUUUCUUUCUUGUUCUAUACUGCAAAAGGAAGGACAUUCAAUGCUGUGCUUCAAAGUCACAUUGCAAUCCCAAUCUAGUUGUUCAUGUUGGGUUUAAUAUAAACAAAGUCUAAUUGCAUAUACAGCUUUGUAAAUCCUCAGCAUCACUGGAGCUGCCCUGAUGAGAGAUCAGAAUUAGGGUGUCCAACACAGCAUUCUGGAGGCAGUUCUCACACAAUGGACUUUCUCUGGCUUCCUCCUAGAGAAGAACUUAAUCAAACCUCAGAUGCUUUCAGGCAGAAGAGCCUUCGGGGAGAGCAAACAGGGUUAACAGAAAGAAAUGUGCCAUCUGAUUUCUAAUCUUGCUCAGGGAGCAUGGCCUAUUGAUUGAGCCAUAAAGCUCUGUUAAUUUUAAUAUUUCCUCAGCUUUCAGUUCUUUCCCUUGGGCAUAAACUUGUUGCUGACACACAGUGGCUGAGCUAUCAGGGAGAGGGUAGCUUCACACUCCCCGACUCGGCUCUCUUCCCCUCCUCCCCUCCAUUCUAUUUGUUCUGAGCUCAUCUGCGUGAGGAUACAUUUUCACACACACCUUCUCAAACCGGCUGCUAUUCAUCUGAUUCAGGGUCAUGCUUUUCCAUACAUUAAAUGCAGGGGAAAACUGGGAAGGAAAUGGCUGGGAUUUGUGCUUGACGGGCAAGCACACGAUUAGCCAGGGAGCCCUGCUGUGAGAAAGUACAGCGUCGGAGGGUAUUUUCUGUGGAAUCAUCCAGUCUCAUGACUGGAAUCUGAUGCCUAUAAAAAGCUACUAUAUAAUGAAAACAGGAUAAAGUGAGAUCCUCAGGCAGUGUAAGUCGGCAUGUUCCCGAGACAUCCGACUGCUGCACAAUCACGGAACAGGUCAGCUUGGAAGGGACCGCCUGUGGGGCCAUCUGAUCCAACCUCCCUGCCCAAACAGGGUCCUCCUAGACACAACUCUUUCUUCCUUUAUAACCUCGGUAUUUGCUUACGCACAUUUUUCUCAGGGGUAAGGAGGCAGAAGUCACUCUUGGAGAGGCCAGUCAGUGCAGCCCUGAGCUAGAAACGGAGCAGGAGGCGAUGGCACAGGGCAGCUCCCUCAGUGCUCUGUGUUUCCACCAUGCCUUCAGUGGGACCAUGAACAAUUUACAUUAGCAAAGGAUCUAGCCCUUCACCUUUAGCUAAAGCACCUUUUAUGCACUUAAACCAUUAAUAAUAUCUAUUAGGUAACCAUGUUAAUCCCUUUGAGGUAGGAUUUCCUCUACUGUACUGAUGGCUGAACUGAAUAAAAGCUUCACAUAUGAGAGGGCCUGGUUUGCACUAGAAAUGCUUCUCCUUUGAUAACCAGCAAAUACAAGUUUUACUAGCACAAGCAUCUUUUUCUGCAAGCGUUUCCCAAAUAAAAUAGGCUAUACUGGCAAAAGCAUUUUUUUUUUUUGCUCAUAUAGCUGCAUCUAUAUGGGGGAUUUUUGCACGUAGUGAAACGCAAUCUGUUUUAAAUGGCACUUCAGAAGAGCAUUGCUAUCCCACAGAAGUUUCAAGGCUAGACCUUGAAGUAUAUACUUCUGCCUCAUAUCUGAAAGAGCUUUUUACAAAGUGGCCAUUGUCAUCUUGCAGGAAAUACAGAGAAACUGAGACACACGGAUUGGGAGUGCUGUGCUCUAUCUGGAAUUUGUGUUCAUUACAUUCUUUAGCUUCAGAUGAAAUUAUGUAUCCAUAAUCAGACUCAUUCCUCACUAUGCAAAAUUUCUUCUUGAACAACUGUGACAAAGACAGUGGGUGUUUCAAAAGCAGCAUAGUUCUGUAUGAAAGAAAAGUCCUAUUGAAAAUCAGGUAGGUAAAUGCCAUUCUGAAUGACCUAGACAUUUUCUGAACUGUCAAAUGUAGACCAAACUCGUUAAAAAACAAAAACACUAAGAGGCUA